GCACUCGGGCCCCUCUCGGCUGCCGCUGCCGCCAUCUUGCGGGCCCCGCCGCCGUUCGCCUGCAUCCGCCGCCAUCCGCCGCCCCCGCCGCCGUCCGCCCGCCGGGACUGAGCGCGGCGCCUCCGUGCCGCCAUGAGGGCUAAGUGGCGCAAGAAGCGAAUGCGCAGACUGAAGCGCAAGAGGAGGAAGAUGAGGCAGAGGUCCAAGUAGGCCCCGCCGCGGAGCCGCCGCCGCCGCCGGGGACACGUCCCGGUGCCGCGGGGAGGAGGGGGCCCCGUGCUGCGGGGCGGGGGGGGGGGGGACCCGCUGCGCCGGGCCGGGUGUGCGCUUCGCGGUGGUCGUUGUGCCGCGAAUAAAGCUGUUGGUAUUGGAA